AUUGAACGCUGGCGGCAUGCCUAACACAUGCAAGUCGAACGGUAACAGGCCUUCGGGCGCUGACGAGUGGCGGACGGGUGAGUAAUACGUAGGAACCUGCCUUUUAGUGGGGGAUAACUCGGGAGAAAUCCGGGCUAAUACCGCAUACGCACUACGGUGGAAAGCAGGGGAUCGCAAGACCUUGCGCUAAUAGAUGAGCCUACGUCGGAUUAGCUUGUUGGUAGGGUAAUGGCCUACCAAGGCGACGAUCCGUAGCUGGUCUGAGAGGACGACCAGCCACACUGGGACUGAGACACGGCCCAGACUCCUACGGGAGGCAGCAGUGGGGAAUAUUGGACGAAUGGGGGCAACCCUGAUCCAGCAAUGCCGCGU
rnacentral:rRNA from 1 species